GAAAUACCAACAUGUUUUUUAUUCGGCAGAUAUUCAGAAAUACUGAAACCACGGAAACUAGAGUCGUGGUCACCGGCAACCAACCUAGAAGUGUAAACAAGCUUGAAUUCCUCCCGGUUAACAACGUCACUAAUGUAAUAAGGGCUUUGUAUAACACCAACAGCACUUUUACGGGAAUCACAUCGUGGGCUUCCGAGAUUUUGGCGCCAAUUGCUGAAGACGUCAUCACUAACAGAGUCGAAUUUCCAGUCGUAUGCUACAAUUGUCCUGUCUCGUAAAAAAUAUGUACCUAAUAGUAAAAUAUAUCUGUUUGUCAAUGUCUAAAUUGUUUCGAUUGCCGACCAAAUACUUAGAAGCAAAUAAAGGAUUCAAUUUGGA
rnacentral:lncRNA from 1 species